AUAUCAAUAAGCGGAGGAAAAGAAACCAACAGGGAUUGCCCCAGUAACGGCGAGUGAAGCGGCAACAGCUCAAAUUUGAAAUCUGGCCCCAGGCCCGAGUUGUAAUUUGCAGAGGAUGCUUCGGGCGCGACGCCUUCCAAGUCCCCUGGAACGGGGCGCCUUAGAGGGUGAGAGCCCCGUACGGUUGGACGUCAAGCCUGUGUGAAGCUCCUUCGACGAGUCGAGUAGUUUGGGAAUGCUGCUCAAAAUGGGAGGUAGACCCCUUCUAAAGCUAAAUACCGGCCAGAGACCGAUAGCGCACAAGUAGAGUGAUCGAAAGAUGAAAAGCACUUUGAAAAGAGGGUUAAACAGCACGUGAAAUUGUUGAAAGGGAAGCGCUCGUGACCAGACUUGCGCCGGGGCGAUCAUCUGGCGUUCUCGCCGGUGCACUCGCCCCGGCUCAGGCCAGCGUCGGUUCGGGAGGGGGGACAAAGGCGUCGGGGAUGUGGCUCCCUCGGGAGUGUUAUAGCCCGGCGUGCAAUGCCCCCGCCCGGACCGAGGUUCGCGCUCUGCAAGGACGCUGGCGUAAUGGUCACCAGCGGCCCGUCUUGAAACACGGACCAAGGAGUCGAGGUUCUGCGCGAGUGUUUGGGUGUCAAACCCGCACGCGUAAUGAAAGUGAACGUAGGUGGGAGCCUCGGCGCACCACCGACCGAUCCUGAUGUUCUCGGAUGGAUUUGAGUAGGAGCGUAGGGCCUCGGACCCGAAAGAUGGUGAACUAUGCUUGGAUAGGGUGAAGCCAGAGGAAACUCUGGUGGAGGCUCGCAGCGGUUCUGACGUGCAAAUCGAUCGUC
rnacentral:rRNA from 1 species